rnacentral:rRNA from 1 species
UCCCACAGGCCGUAAACCCAAGGUUUCCAGGGGAAGGUUCGUCCGCCCUGGGUUAGUCGGGACCUAAGCUGAGGCCGAAAGGCGUAGGGGAUGGACAACAGGUUGAUAUUCCUGUACUACCGAUAACUGUUUGAGAGAAGGGAUGACACAGUAGGAUAAGCUAAGCACACUGUUGGUUAUGUGUGCCCAAGCAUUGAGGCAGUCAAAGUAGGCAAA